rnacentral:rRNA from 1 species
UCGCGGUGGCGGAGCGUCGUUUGCGACGCCCAACACAAAAAACAAGCGGUGAGUGCUUUGGGGUGGGGUGACUGCGUACCUUUUGUAUAAUGGGUCAGCGACUUAUAUUCUGUAGCAAGGUUAACCGAAUAGGGGAGCCGUAGGGAAACCGAGUCUUAACUGGGCGUUAAGUUGCAGGGUAUAGACCCGAAACCCGGUGAUCUAGCCAUGGGCAGGUUGAAGGUUGGGUAACACUAACUGGAGGACCGAACCGACUAAUGUUGAAAAAUUAGCGGAUGACCUGUGGCUGGGGGUGAAAGGCCAAUCAAACCGGGAGAUAGCUGGUUCUCCCCGAAAGCUAUUUAGGUAGCGCCUCGUGAAUUCAUCUCCGGGGGUAGAGCACUGUUUCGGCUAGGGGGCCAUCCCGGCUUACCAACCCGAUGCAAACUGCGAAUACCGGAGAAUGUUAUCACGGGAGACACACGGCGGGUGCUAACGUCCGUCGUGAAGAGGGAAACAACCCAGACCGCCAGCUAAGGUCCCAAAGUCAUGGUUAAGUGGGAAACGAUGUGGGAAGGCCCAGACAGCCAGGAUGUUGGCUUAGAAGCAGCCAUCAUUUAAAGAAAGCGUAAUAGCUCACUGGUCGAGUCGGCCUGCGCGGAAGAUGUAACGGGGCUAAACCAU